UCUCCAUUUUUCACACUAUCUCACCAGUCAGAGAGGCGAGAGAGUGUGCGAAAUGAAGAGA
rfam:Pristionchus pacificus strain PS312 contig4358, whole genome shotgun sequence.